CGAGGGGGGCGAGGGGCCGCGGGUCGGCGUCCCUAAAGGGCGUGCGAUUCGAGGAAAGUCCGAGCUCCAAAGGGCAAGGUGCCGGGUAACGCCCGGGCGGCGAAAGCCGACGGAAAGUGCCACAGAGAACAGACCGCCUGCGGCUAGCGCGCUAGCGCGGCUGCCGGUAAGGGUGAAACGGUGGAGUAAGAGCCCACCGCCCGCGCGGGUAACCGCCGGGGCACGGCAAACCCCACCUGGAGCAAGGCCAAGCAGGGGACAGUGGUGGCCCGCCGCGUGAUGAUCCCCGGGUAGGCCGCGUGAGGCGCCGGGCGACCGGCGUCCCAGAUGAAUGGCCCGCUGAACAGAACUCGGCUUACGGCUCCCCUCCGCGG
rnacentral:RNase_P_RNA from 1 species